GGUUUUGGCCAGCGAAAAUAGUAAUAUUUUGUUUUCUCAUACACCAAAUUUGAAGGGGUUGACCUAAAAUUCGAGUCUUUUUUUCUUGAGAAGCCUCUUGUUAGUGUCUGGUUAUGUGAUUUUUGUGGUUCUGGGCGGGGAUUUGGGUCAUUUUCUGAAUUGGGUAUGGCUUAAUGGGUGGUUUUUUUGAAGCGGUUAGGGAAUUUACUGUGAUUUGCUGAGUCUGUGUAUAGAUAUUGGGUUGUUUUUGGCAGGACCAUUAGGAAGGGAGCUACAUUUGAUAUUUAAUUCAAGGUCUUGGGACGCUUGGCUUCAGGAAUUCAAGAGUGGUCUCUUGUGAAAUUUAAGGCGGC
rnacentral:misc_RNA from 1 species